CCAGCAAAAACACAACCACAAAUUAUGCCCGUGCUGUGCCUCUCGCAGCAAAGACAAGCGGUGUGGGGUUUUGGAGGAAGCUACACUUCUCGUCGGGGGAGAAAGGGAUUCCUGUGGAGCUGUACUUGUUUUACAUCCAUGUGAACUGCUGUCAUCACUACUGUGUCCAAGCCCAGAGGAUGAACUGGAAAAGAAGAGAGGGGGAAAAUAAUAAAAAGAGGAAAUUGGUUUUCACAACACACUCAAAGCCUGAGUAACAGAGGAGAACUUUAAUUAUCUCCAGUCACAAAGAGAGACAGGAAAUUUGGACUUUUAAUUAGCCAUUUGGAGUGCAGUUGGAUAUUUUUUUAGCUAGAUAAUUUAAACGCGAAUAAUUCAAGUCUGACUAAAUGAAAGUCACAUAAUCAGAAUGCAGAUAAUUGAAUUUCUACUGCAUUCAUUAAUUCGGUGUGGAGGUGUGUGUGAAGACUACUAUGAUGAGCUGUCACAGCUCAAUAAAAUCUCAGUCAAUUAAUUUUUUCAUUAUCUUAGUAUUACAUCAACAAAAAAGUGAAGUACGUGUAUAUUUCUAUAGACAUGCAUAUGUGCAGUAUGUGUUAUAUAAAUACAUACACAUUCAAUCAAAACGCAAGGAAAUACCUUUCUGAAUCAUAAUCUAUAUCAUUUUCUUUUUUUCCUUCUUCAUCUUCUUCGGGGAAACGUCUGUUCAUCAAGGCAAACUUGUGAAUUGCUUCUUCCACAGAGUACUUAGUCUGCCCAGAAACACACGCCUCAAUGUCUUCUGAAUUCAGCUGGCUCUGCAAGAAGAGGUGAAGGCUGCUAUCUGAAAGCAACAGUGCAUUUUGUAGGACUCUAUGGAAAGGAAAAAAAGGAAAAAUAAUCGGUGAACAGGAAUGGUCAGUUAUAGGGUAGGAGAAAGAAAAACAUUAGAAAUGUACCGCUGAAGUAAUUUCUCUACUGUGGUAAACUUUGCAUCAAUUAUGGGCUCUGCCUAUUAAAGGGAUGAAAGCAUAUGUUAACUUUUAUUCAAUUAUUUGGAAAUUUAGGUGAGUCAAAACAUGAAGCUAAUAGUUAAGAACAUCUGUUAAAAGAAUAACUUCAAGGACAUUUCUUCAAUUUAACCAUCUGUUAUGACCAUGUGGAUUAAUUAUGGAAAUAUUUUGCUUAUAUAGUCAUAGAAAUUUAUUCUACUUAAAAAAAAUUUAUUGCCAACAGCAUGUCAAUUCAGUGAUCUUUAUUGGAUAGGCUGCCAUGAAACAUCAAAACUUUCAACUACUAUUAAAAAUUAUAUGAAAAAGUCAA